ACCUAGCUGGCUCAAUUGGUAGAGCAUGAAACUCUGGAUCUUAGGGUCGUGAGUUCAAGCCACACAUUGGGCA
rnacentral:tRNA from 1 species